rnacentral:rRNA from 1 species
GAUGAACGCUGGCGGCGUGCCUAAUACAUGCAAGUCGAGCGAACAGACGAGGAGCUUGCUCCUCUGACGUUAGCGGCGGACGGGUGAGUAACACGUGGAUAACCUACCUAUAAGACUGGGAUAACUUCGGGAAACCGGAGCUAAUACCGGAUAAUAUAUUGAACCGCAUGGUUCAAUAGUGAAAGACGGUUUUGCUGUCACUUAUAGAUGGAUCCGCGCCGCAUUAGCUAGUUGGUAAGGUAACGGCUUACCAAGGCAACGAUGCGUAGCCGACCUGAGAGGGUGAUCGGCCACACUGGAACUGAGACACGGUCCAGACUCCUACGGGAGGCAGCAGUAGGGAAUCUUCCGCAAUGGGCGAAAGCCUGACGGAGCAACGCCGCGUGAGUGAUGAAGGUCUUCGGUCGUAAAACUCUGUUAUUAGGGAAGAACAAAUGUGUAAGUAACUAUGCACGUCUUGACGGUACCUAAUCAGAAAGCCACGGCUAACUACGUG